rnacentral:misc_RNA from 1 species
CUAUUUAUUUUGUUUUGCAUGUUUUAUAUUAUUGGAGUUGUAUAUUUGCAUGAAGCAUGGGAGUCACGGGCUUGUGGAAGCUAAUCGAGCCCUGCGGCAAGCCCGUGCCGGUUGAGACUUUAGAAGGGAAAAUACUGGCCGUGGGUGAGUCUUCGAUUUCAGGGCUUUGUGAAAUUAUAUCUAAUUUCAAUUGUAACCACGCUCUUGCAGACAUAUCCAUAUGGCUGCAUCAGGUUGUGAAGGGUUUCCAGGAUAACAAGGGCUCCGCUCUGAACAAUGCCCAUCUUUUGGGUUUGUUUCAUCGCCUGUGCAAGCUGCUCUACUACCGGGUGAGGCCAGUCUUCAUAUUCGAUGGAUGUACGCCUCAACUGAAAAGGGAUACGAUUGCGCGUCGUCAGCAGCAGCGCAAUAAACUUAGCAACGAAGCAGACCGCAUACAGGCUCUUCUCUUGCAGUCCCUGGCCAGGGAGAAGGUUGUGCAACAGGCGCUGGGCAAGAAUGCUGAGCUUUUGUUGAAAUCACCGGUGAAACGACCGCCGCCCAGCAAGUCCAAAAACGAUGAGGAUGAUCUAUUUAAGCUGCCAGAAUUGCCGGCUUUGGCCGCUGGGCAGGAUAACCCAGAUGAAAGCGACCAGGAUUUGGACUACACCAGUGCCAGUGCCACAUCGGAUAGCUCAUUUGAUGAGUCCACCGCUCGACAUGCGUACAAUUCGAGUCUGCAGGCCAUCGAUGUCAAGAGUCAGAACUUUAAGAACCUUCCCGCCGACGUUCGUCACGAGAUACUCACCGACAUAAAGGAGACGCGCAAACAGUCUUCGUGGGGGCGCCUGCAUGAGUUACCCGCCCGCAGCGAUGACUUCUGCUCCUUCCAGAUGAAGCGUCUGCUGAAGCGACGCGCCGUCCAGGAGAGCCUGGAGCAGGCGGAACAGGAAAUGGGCGGACACACGCUUACCUAUUCCGAGCUGUGUGACUUUUUCAGCGAGGAGGGUAUUGUAACGCCCACGGCCAUAGAGCAGAGCACGCGGCAAAUCAGCUCGGAUGAGCAUACGCGAUUCCUGCUGGUCAGGGAUCUCAAGAAGAAGGCAUUGGAGAGCACCAAAACCGAGAUGAAAAUGGAGACAAUUGAGGAGCUGCCAGAGACAAAGCCGCCAGUUGAUGAGGAGACGCCAUCUACAUCCAGCAAGGCGGAGACUGUUGAAAUGGGCACUGAAUACGAUGCGGACUUGGCGCAGGCCUUGGCCCUCUCACUGGAAGAGAGCACCACAAAAGUGUAUGACGAGAAGGACUACGACUAUGACUCGGAUCAGGAGUUGCGGCUCAAUCGCGCUCAAAGCAAACAGUUGCGACACGCAGCCAAGGGUCCGGCCAGGGCAUACAUGAUUGAAUAUGGCGGCAUGAACGAUGAGGAGGUGGGCAACAUAAUGGAGUCCACUCAAUUGAAUGAUACGCAAAGCCUCGAACACUUACUAGGCACAACUGUAGUCCCCGUCGAUAUAGCAAACGAUUCAGUGGAGGAGGCCAAGCAACUCUCAAAGGCCAUUGAAGAGAGCAAGAAGAGUCUCCUAGAGGAUAAGGUACAGAUAAUAGACACGGAUACGGACUCUGAUUUGGAGGAAGUGGUGGAAACCAAGGCAUCGGCUGGUCUAGAAAUUCGUUUGGACAUCACUAAUAAUCUAAAACCCACCAACGAUCUAUUUGCGGAUAUAUUCGAAGAGGACUCUGGCAAGGAAAAAGCGGCAGAUGAAAGCGAAGAUGAUGAAGAUUUCAUAGAAGUACCAGAGAGUGAGGAAUUGAAGAUCAUUGAAGAUUCACAGGAGAAACCAAUCACAGAUGAAACUAGUCCAGGAACUGAAAUAAUCGAAGUAAAAGAAAGCCAAGAAGAAAUACCUACUGAACAGGAGGAGAACAAAGAAACAGCAGACACAAGCCAGGAGAAAACAAAACCUGACUUGGACUCUAUAUUGAACGAUUUGAAAAAGGAAACCGAGGCAGUCAAAGAAAUUAAACUUGUAGUGGACGAACCCGAAACCAAACCCAAGCCUGUUCUUAGCUCCAUUCUCGAUGACCUGCAGAAAGAAAUCGCUGCCGUGAAGAACAUCAAGCUGGAGCAGGUAAAGCUGAACAAUAGCACUAUCAUUGAGGUAUCCUCCGACGACGAAGCAGUCUCCAAAGUCAAAGGCAAUGCCAACACCGAAGAAGUGAUUGAGUUAUGCGACAGCGAUGACAAUCAGAAGCAACGAAUUUCCCCCAAUAAAACGCCGAGCAAAAACAAAUCCAUAAAGGAUUUCUUUGACACCAGUUAUGUGGUGAAAAGGACACCGGACAAGUCACCAGUGGCCGAUAACGGUACACCGCCGGGUACACCAAAGGUACCGCAACCAUUCUACAGGAAGCGAACACCCAAAUCUGAUCGAAAACGAGCUGCUGGUGGGUCGGACGACAGUGAUGAGGGAGUUUCGCCCACGAAAAGGUCCAGCAAGGCUUCAAAGUCUCUUUUUGAGGGAAACGAUCCAGAGACGGAGCCACCGAAGACUGUGGAUCCUGAGGAACUCAUCAGAGAUGCAGCAGAGACCCUUAAGUCCCAGAAGACCUCCGAGGAGCUGCAGUCGAUGGCUGAUAAUUUGGCCCAGGAACGCAAGGACUUGGAAAUCGAACGCAAUCGACAGGACCGCAUGGGCAUGUCCAUAAGCCAGCGCAUGAGCACAGAUUGCCAGGAGCUACUACGCCUCUUUGGGAUACCAUACAUUGUAGCCCCCAUGGAGGCCGAGGCGCAGUGUGCCUUCCUGAAUGCCACCGAACUAACGCACGGCACCAUCACGGAUGACAGCGAUAUCUGGCUCUUUGGAGGCCGCACUGUCUACAAGAACUUCUUCGCCCAGAACAAGCAUGUUCUCGAGUUCCGGGCCGAGCAGAUCGAGCAGACAUUCAACUGCAAUCGGGGCAAGCUGAUACAGUUGGCGUGCCUGGUGGGCAGUGACUACACCACGGGCAUUCAUGGAAUUGGCGCAGUGACGGCCAUGGAAAUUCUCGCCUCCUUCUCGACCACACUGGAUGCCUCCAGCCCUGCCUCUAGCGGCAACCAAUCAGUUUUAGCCACUUUGGUUAGAUUCCGGGACUGGUGGCAGGCACACAAGAGCACCAGCCUUCCUCCAGGCAGUUCCGCCCGCCUGGCGCUUCGAAAGAAGCUGAAGAAUAUUGAACUGCACGAAGGCUUUCCAAACAUGGCCGUGGUGGAGGCGUAUCUGGAUCCCAAGGUGGACGACAAUCGCGAUGCCUUCAGCUGGGGUUCACCGGAUGUGGAAUCGAUCAGAGAAUUUACACGAAAGUCUUUCGGUUGGACGACAUCGAAGACAGACGACAUCCUCCAGCCGGUGAUCAAGAAAAUCAACGAGAAAAAGAUUCAAGGUUCCAUUCGCAACUAUUUCACGGCCAAGAGUGCCUUGAGGGUCCAACAGCCUCAGGUCAGCAAACGUGUUCAAUCGGCCAUUGACAAGAUGUCGGGCAAGAUCGAUGCAGAGACGCCGGAGAAACCAAAGAAGGUCGUUCGUACCAGGCGGGCGAAGAAAGCUGCGACGGAGGCUGAGUCAGCGGAUGUGGAAUCCGAGGCCAAGCCCGUACGUCCCAAGAGUGGCAAACGAAAGGCUUCCACAACAGAAACACCUGAUGAACAGCCAUCCACAUCGCAGCCGACGCCAAAGCCUGGCAAAUGUCCGAGGAUACCAGACACCACAGAAAUCAUACCACAAAGAGAAAGGGACUUGGAGCAGAUGCGUCUGAACAAGGCCAGGGCAGCGGAAGUGAUGAAAAAGGCAGCCAAAAGCACAAAAAAAUAAAUCUAAAAAGGGAAGUCAUAUUUCAUUGAAAUAAACAUCAUAUAAAGCUAGAUACACAGAUCAAGAAAUUUCACGUUUACUAUUAAAAAAAAAACAUUUAAUUAAACUAUAAUCAUGUAUAAGAAUACGAAGGAGGACCGCGUUCGAAAGCGCUUGAAGACCCCCAUUAGAGUCUAUCAAUCUAAGGUCCAAUUAGGACAUCAACAAGAAAAAGUUUCCUUAGAAGAGCCCAAUCUUAAGAUACUGCCAGAUAAACUAUCCAUAAUUAAGAACUCGGCAACUCAUAUGGAACCAAAACAGAGCCAUCUCCAAAAUGCAGCAGAAGCUACGCUCAAACAAGAGGAAGGUCCCACAGAGAAACUCGAACUGAAGAUACAGCCAGAUAAGCUACCCGUAAUCAAGAGAUCAGAAACUCAUUUGAAACCGAGGCAGGGACACCUCCAAAAGGCACUUAAAGCUAAGCUCAAAAUGGAACACCAACAAGAGAAAGGUCCCCCAUUGAAACCGGAACUUAAGAUACUGCCAGAUAAAUUAUGCGAAAUCAAGAGAUCAGAAACUCAAUUGGAAACGAAGGACAGCCAUCCCCAAAAUGUAAACGAGAUCAAGUGCAUAUUAGAAGAAGAAAAAGAAGGUAAAGAUGUGUCAUUUACAGAAUUCAUAGAAAAGCAGGGAUGGGGAUCGUUUUCCAUAGACUUUUUGAAGGAUUUGAAUGGAAACAAAAGCCAACGCGUCCAUCAUUCGAGCAGACUCUCCCCAAGGACAAAUAUAGAUAAACUACACACUGCAAGGAUGGACUUUAAGUCCAUCGAUUGUUUCGAAUCGGUUGAAAGCAAUAACAGGAUCAUCUUUCCAUCCUCAUAUUGUGCUCAUUCCGAUGUUGACAACGAUUAUGUGGCAAAGCAACGUGCAAAGUGGACCGAUUUCUUUGCCCAACAAAAGAAGACGCCAAUGGAACUACGCUUGGAGGAGCGGAGAAGACAAAUACAGAAGAAAGAGUCAGCUAAGAGGGCUAACGAACAGCAGAGGACGAAGCAAACCCGAAGUAAGAUUCAGCCUAGAAGAUCUCUUAGUGCUCUCUACAGAGAGCCUCGACAAACGCACCGCAUGCGAAAAGCUAUGGAAUCAAUUGCCGAGGAACUAGCCGGGAUGAACAUACAGCCCGAGGAGAGUGGAGAAUGCUCACAUGGAUAUAUUUGUUCAGGAGAAAGUAGCUGUAGUCAGUCCAAGUAUUAAUAUUAGUAUUGCAUGAACCAAAUGACAACAAAUAAAUCGUCUGAAGCUUAA